UGGAUUGGUUUGGUUUAGUCUGGACAGAGACGCAUCAGUCUCAAAUGGUUUCAAUCCAUAGACAUGAACCAAAUUGUCGAACCAGACCUGCAGCGUGUUGAGCAUGUCCACGACGGAAGCAGCCCUGGAUGCGUGCAUGAUGUGCAUGAUGUGUAUUCUACUGUUACCUGUGUAGUGGUACUGUAUUUUGUUCUUCCACCACAAGUACAGCACUCCUUUCCUCUUCUCUUUUCUCCCCUCUCCUUUCCUCUUCUCUUUUCUCUCAUGGAGACGCCAGAGCGCGCGCCCGCCGCCGGCGAAACCCCAUCACCGGCGACCAUAGAGAGCAGGGGCAACAGGAAGUCGCGGUGGCUCGCGGCCCUCUCCUAGCCCGAUCUUGAUUUGCUCACCAGCCUGAAAAUGCUGGUCGUGAAGCGGGCGGAGACCGCCAGACGUCCCCACCUCGCCGACCCGUUAGAUUUGCGCAUGCUGCGUGCUAUCGGUAUCGCGUGCUGCAUCCUCCGUUUCCUCCAUCGAUGGAAACUGGCACGGAGUAUGCAGUAGAAUGCUUAAAGUUAGUCGAUUGCUGACCUGCUGCUGGUUACUUGCUCGAUGCAGUGUGCUCAUCUCUUUGUUGUUUGGUAGUAAAACAAUCGUCGGUAUUCUGAAUUUGUGUGCGUCGAAUUUUGAGCAAACUUCUGAAUUCAUAGUGUAGGCCUUUUGAAUUCAACUUUGCUGUUUCUUGCUCAGAGUAAUUCAUUGUUGUUGGAUAGUAAAUCUACCUGUACUUUCUUGUCAAUUCACGUGCCAUUGUAGACAUCUUAUAGGAGGUUCAGCUGUUCUUGCUUUUGUCAGUACUAUGAAUUUCUACAAUCGAUACUCUGAAGUCAUGCAAAAAAUGGACAGAUUUGAAGCAAACUUUUGAAUCCAUAGCAUAACUCCUUAUUUAUUUUUGCUGAAUUAGAACUGUAAACUCAGCACGCAUAUAGAAAUGCUACAGCAUGCUCAACCAAAUGUGUUAGUUAUUGUGUCAUUGGGCUGACUUUAUACAAAAACCUGUUGCAAGUGCAUGGAAAAUGUGGCACUUGCCAUUCCGGAAUACUACCCGUUUUCUCUAUGAUUGAAGUGUCUCUGUCGAAUACUUCUAAACUGAACAGCUUCAUUCAGAAUUCUGACACUUCUUAGUGUAGCAUUGUAUCUUUAUUUUUACAUGAUCAAACUAUCUUCUGUAUGCAGUAUGCAGCCACACUAUGCCGUAUAUCUUCAGUAGUAAAUGUAUCAUCUUAAUAGUGUACUAAAGCUAGAUUCUUUUGUAGCUCAUUUUUUAGGCUUUCUCCAUGGUUAAUAUAAAUUAUGCAAAGCAAUGUUUACUUUGAGUGUAACUCUAGUGCCAUUCUUAUUAUUCAAUGUACAUCGACGGUGCUGCUGGACUUGUGCUAGUGAGAGGAGGGGAGAAAGCUAAGAACCUUGGCCUUUAAGUUCUAGCAAGGAUCAAAGGGAAUGCUGAUACAGCUCAGGGGUGAUUGACGUGGACUACUGCGACCUGGUGGGCGUCAUGCUCUUCAACCACUUGGAGGUGAACUUCAUCAUGAAGCCCGGCGAUCGCGCCGCACAGAUGAUCGUCCAGGUCAUUGCGACGCCGGAGGUCACCGAGGUGGAGGACCUCGACGCCACCGUCCGGCGGGAGGGAGUGUUUGGAUCCACCGACGUUUGAACUCCGAGCCUUGGUAGAUACAUCUAGAGAAGUGGUCUAGUUGUUUGCAUCUGAUGUCAAAUGAGAUCUCGUGAUCUCGAGUUGAGAUGUUCAAUGUUGUAUCCAUUAAUGCUGCAAGUGCUAAGAUGGUUCUAUGAACUUAGUUUAUGUACACAGGACGUGUCUUGAUUUCCAUC